rnacentral:rRNA from 1 species
AACGCGUGGGAACAUACCCUUUCCUGCGGAAUAGCUCCGGGAAACUGGAAUUAAUACCGCAUACGCCCUACGGGGGAAAGAUUUAUCGGGGAAGGAUUGGCCCGCGUUGGAUUAGCUAGUUGGUGGGGUAAAGGCCUACCAAGGCGACGAUCCAUAGCUGGUCUGAGAGGAUGAUCAGCCACAUUGGGACUGAGACACGGACCAGACUCCUACGGGAGGCAGCAGUAAGGAAUAUUGGUCAAUGGGCGCAAGCCUGAACCAGCCAUGCCGCGUGCAGGAAGACGGCCCUCCGGGUUGUAAACUGCUUUUGUACGGGAAUAAACCUCCGAUCGUGAUCGGAGCUGAAUGUACCGUAAGAAUAAGGAUCGGCUAACUCCGUGCCAGCAGCCGCGGUAAUACGAAGGGGGCUAGCGUUGUUCGGAAUUACUGGGCGUAAAGCGCACGUAGGCGGGUAUUUAAGUCAGGGGUGAAAUCCCAGAGCUCAACUCUGGAACUGCCUUUGAUACUGGGUACCUAGAGUAUGGAAGAGGUAAGUGGAAUUCCGAGUGUAGAGGUGAAAUUCGUAGAUAUUCGGAGG